UUUACAGCCUUUUUCAUUUUUAUUAGAGCCGCUCCAAACAUUUUAUGUACCGUACGUGCCAGAUGAGCUGCACCAAAUGGUUUGAGGCUCCGGCACUGAUAUUAUAUAAAUUAAGUUGUUUUAAUUUGCAUAGUUUAAUUAACUGACACUGGCAAAGAACUAAAAACAGAGGUAUGGGUGAUGCUGAGGGCCGGACGCGCCCGCAGAGGCAGCCCUAUGGGAUAUGGGGAGGGGUCCCUCACCCCCAAAGGGCUGCGAUGCUGAAUGCUGGGGGGGCUCCGCUCAGUCCUUCAGAUGGGGAAACUGAGGCACCGCUCAACCGCUGCAGUGCAAACAGAGGCCAGGUCAACCCAGGCUGACCCAGCAGCGUUGCGUGGCUCUGUGUGGAGCGCUGGGAAGGCAAACAGUGAAAGAGGUCUGAAGUGAUGUCACGGUGCCCCGGCGUCGGCCACGCUGUGCGUUUUGAUCUGCUGCCCAUCCCUCAGCACAGCAGCGCUUUGAUAAGUGGGUGAUGCUCUCCUCCCCCUCGCGCCAUUCAUCCUGCAGAAUUUCACACCAGGAAACAGCUUCAUUACAUCAACAACAGGAAGACCCCACUGAUUUGUCACAGGGAAAAACAGCUGUUAGUCACACAUCAAGGGAGCAGGGGAGGGAAAAAAAUCUCACCUUCUUCCUUUAAUGUUCGCGCCGUGCUUUAAUGUGAAUUGCUCUGCAGAGGAAAGCGGCCACCGGCUCUCCCAUAAGUAACCAUCACCCAGCGAGCACCAGUUAAUAUCUGAGCGUCUCCCUGCCUCUCCCGCUACAUGAUUGCUUUCAAAAGAAAGAUUAAUUCCAACUUUAAAAAGGAAAACACUAUUUUUAUCAUUGCCAGAAGUCUAUAUGGGUUUAAAAAAGAAAAAGCGCUCGCUUGUCGUUUUACAUCUUGCAGUUUUGUCAGUUGUUUUAAAACAUGUCUCCUGUAAUAAAUAAGAUCAUUUUUAUGCAUUUGUUCUGCAGCGAUCGGAGCGGCGCGGAGCCGGGGAGCGGCCGUGGGGCCAUGGGCAGAGUGUGGCUUCCCUGGAGCCGGGGUGGGACCUGGCAAACCCAGGAGACAGAAAAUAGGGAAGAAGAGCACCAAAGGCCACGUGGUUGUGUUGGUCAUGGAGCACGUCUUGUGCUCUUACUGGUACAGGAGAAAACCCAAAAGACCAGAAGUAGAGAAGAGCACCAAGGGCUACGCAAUGCGUUGGCCGUGGUCUAUGCUUGGUGCUGCUAAUGGUAGAGCAGAAAACCCAAAAGACCAAAGAUAGAGAAUGAAAGCACCAAGGGCUACGCAACGCAUUGGCCAUGGUCUAUGCUUUGUGCUCUUACUGAUACAGGAGAAAGCCAAAAGACCAAAAAUAGAGAAUAAGAGCACCAAGGGCUAUGCAAUGCGUUGACCAUGGACCACAUUUUGUGCUCUUACUGAUAUAGGAGCAAAACCCAACAAAAAUAAGAGCAUAAAAGCACCAAGGGCUACACAACGCAUUGGCCAUGGUCUACAUUUUGCACUCUUACUGUUAUAGGAGCGUGAUUUUAUUUUGUUAAUGCUGUGUUGUUGGCACACAACUUGAAUUCAUUUGAGGAUAGACUUUUUUUUCCUCUUUCCUUCGGAUUUGAAUGGCUCCUUUGAACAGAGGCCUCUCCUCCUGCAUCAGCGCUGCCCGGAUUGAAUCAGUCUUGAGGUCAGCUUUGAGGGGGAGAGAAGAAAAGCCCCCAAAAAGGGGACAUAGGUAGUCCAGCAGUCAGGGUGACUGAUAGCAGGGGAGAAGCGGUGUCAGGCCAUGCCAUGGCUACGCUGGUCAUGGUAGACCCAGCAGAGCCACUUCCCAGAGCCCAGAGCACACUGUGAGGGGCGGCCCCAUGGGCUCAGUAAUGGCAGCACUGUUGGAACAUAAAGCAUCUGCCAGGGGGUGGUGUGUUUCAUUGCAACUCUCUGCCUCUCUCCCUGCAGCGGGGACUCCGAACCCAGAGGUGGUUCUGUGCUCCAGCAUCACCACCUCCGUGCACUGUGAACUCAGACUCUCCCAACUCCUCUCUCCCAGAUGGAGCCCAUGGGAGGCUGCAGUGAUACUGGGAAAUGUUUAAGAGUAUAAACCAAACAGAGUGGAAAACCACUGAAAGCAAUGAGUGUUGCGGGUUGCAGUGUAAGGAAAUGGCACUUUUUGUGGGGUUGGUUCCCCACUGCAGGUGAACCCCAAGGGCAGGUGAUGGCAUGCAACAUCCAGUGCCCACGUGCCCAUUCCUGCAACAGCAGAAAACACUUUGCCACAGUCAAGUGCUGCUGCUGAUAAAAGGAAUUUUAAUGCUGGUGAUUACAUUAUGUGCAAAAUCAAUAUGUACACAUGCAAAGUGUGUUGGCAACUCAGGUUUGGGCGACACUGCUGACCUGGCAGCACCUUCACCGUGUGCUGGGCGUGCACCCAGGCGGGGUGCCAGAAGGGUCAUCCUGCAGGGACGGGGUGCCAAGUUGUGCCGUGCCAUGGCAAGCUGUGCUGGGCUGUGCAUAGCUGAGCUGUGUUGUGGCAGCCAAGCUGUGCCAUGCUAUGCCAUGCCAUGCCAUGCCAUGCCAUGCCAUGAGAAACCUCACUGCCUGAGCCACGCCGUGCCGUUCCGAGCUGUGCCAGCAGCACUGUGCUGUGCCCUGCGAGCCAAGCCGAGCCACGCCGAGCUGUGCCAGCCAUGCCCUGCCAGCCGAGCUGUGCCAUGCCUUGCCAAGCCACGCAAAGGCCACGCUGUGCCGUGCUAAUCCGUGCGAUGCCGAGCCGAGCCGAGCCGCGCUGCUCUGCGCUGCGCUGCGCUGCGCCGGCGGCCGCUCUCCCCC
ensembl:lncRNA